GGACAGGUGGCCGAGCGGUCGAAGGCACUUGCUUGGAAAGCAAGCAACAUCCAAAAGGUGUUCCAGGGUUCGAAUCCCUGCCUGUCCGCCA
rnacentral:tRNA from 1 species